AGCCCGGCGGGGUCAGGGCCCGCCCCGCAGAAGCGGCGCUGCGCCACGCGGCCCGGGCCGGCAAGGGCAGCGCGGGAGGAGCCCGCGAGGCGGCUGCCCAGCGAGGCGGCGCCGCGCAACGGCCGCCUCUAACGGCCGCCGCCAACGGUCGCCCCGAGCCGCGCGCUGACCGACGGGCGGAGCGGCCAAUCAGAGAGGCGGGGGCGGGGCGGCGGUUGGUUGCCGGAGCAACGGCGCGGCGGCCAUGGGCUCCCUCAAGGUGUACUGCGGCAGCGUGACGGGGUCCCGGCAGGUGAGCGGCGGCCGCGGCGAGCCCCAGCCCCGAGCCGGCGAAGAGGGGGCGGCAGCGGCGGCGCCUCGCCUCGGUGCCGCUCUCUGCGGGCGCAGGUGCGGCAGAGGCAGGCCGAGGUCAGGCGGAUCUUGGACGGGAACCGGCUGCGGGUUUUGAGAUGCUAUACCAAGCGACUGAAAAUGAAGAAGUCUCCAAGUUCCUGAAGAUGACCCCAGUAGACAAGCCUGUACGAGAAGAAACUACCGUCUAAAGGACCGCUUUUGGCGUUUGGUAGUUCGCGAAUGGGACAUACUAAAUGUGUGUAUUUUAGGUACUCGGAAUAAACAUCCAGGAAUUUAUGAUGCUACAA